rnacentral:ncRNA from 1 species
UUAAAAAAAAUUUGAUUCUGGUUUAAGUUUAAGUUUAACUGUUAUUUUGAUAAUUUUAAUAUGUAAAUAUUAGUUUGGUUGUAAAGAUUUAUUUAAAUAAUAUUCUUUAAUUAUUAUUUUAUUCGCAGUUUAUUAUUUUAUAUAUCUAAUAAUUUAGGAUUUAGUUAAUUAUUAAUGUGACUAGCGAAAAAUGUGCCAGCAGCUGCGGUUAUACAUUUUAGUUUAAAUAGUUAUUAUUGGCUUUAAUUAUUAAGAAUUAAUUAUUUUGAAUAUGGUAUUUAUUUAUUUAGGGUGAAAUUUUAAUAUAUAAAUUUAUUUAUUUAGGUUUAAUUUUAAUUUAUAAGAAAUUCUUUAUUUAAACUAGGAUUAGAUACCCUAUUAUUUGGAAUGUAAAAGUGAGUUUCUUAGUAUUAUUAGUUAAGAUCUUUAAAAUUGAAAGAAUUUGACGGUAAUUUAAUCAUUUUAGAGGAGCCUGUUCUGUAAUUGAUAAUCCACGAUGAAUUUUACCUUUAAAAAAUUCUAUUAUGGUUUGUAUAUCUCUGUUUGGUGAAUGUUCUAUUAGGAAAUUUUCAUUAAUUCUUAUUAUAUUGGAAUAUAUGUCAGGUCAAGGUGCAGCUUAUAUAAAGGUUUGAAAUGGGCUACAUUUAAUUAUAUAAUUAUUAGAUUAUUAAAUGUAUUAAUUAAUAUGAAAUUGGAUUUAAUUGUAAUUUUUAAGAUAUUUUAUUUGUGAUACAUGUUCUUGAUUAAGUACAUAUCGCCCGUCACUCUCAUUAAUAAGAUGAGAUAAGUCGUAACAAAGUAGUCCUAUCGGAAGAUGGGGCUGGAAUUAUA